ensembl:miRNA
AUUAGGUUGGUGCAAAAGUAAUCACAGUUUUUGUUUUUGCCAUUACUUUUAAUGGCAAAAACCACGAUUACUUUUGCACCAACCUAAUAG